GCUUCUCUUGAGAGCGGCGGACGGGUGAGUAAUGCCUAGGAAUCUGCCUGGUAGUGGGGGAUAACGUUCGGAAACGGACGCUAAUACCGCAUACGUCCUACGGGAGAAAGCAGGGGACCUUCGGGCCUUGCGCUAUCAGAUGAGCCUAGGUCGGAUUAGCUAGUUGGUGGGGUAAUGGCUCACCAAGGCGACGAUCCGUAACUGGUCUGAGAGGAUGAUCAGUCACACUGGAACUGAGACACGGUCCAGACUCCUACGGGAGGCAGCAGUGGGGAAUAUUGGACAAUGGGCGAAAGCCUGAUCCAGCCAUGCCGCGUGUGUGAAGAAGGUCUUCGGAUUGUAAAGCACUUUAAGUUGGGAGGAAGGGUUGUAGAUUAAUACUCUGCAAUUUUGACGUUACCGACAGAAUAAGCACCGGCUAACUCUGUGCCAGCAGCCGCGGUAAUACAGAGGGUGCAAGCGUUAAUCGGAAUUACUGGGCGUAAAGCGCGCGUAGGUGGUUUGUUAAGUUGGAUGUGAAAUCCCCGGGCUCAACCUGGGAACUGCAUUCAAAACUGACUGACUAGAGUAUGGUAGAGGGUGGUGGAAUUUCCUGUGUAGCGGUGAAAUGCGUAGAUAUAGGAAGGAACACCAGUGGCGAAGGCGACCACCUGGACUAAUACUGACACUGAGGUGCGAAAGCGUGGGGAGCAAACAGGAUUAGAUACCCUGGUAGUCCACGCCGUAAACGAUGUCAACUAGCCGUUGGAAGCCUUGAG
rnacentral:rRNA from 1 species